GGGGUUGUAGCUCAGUGGUAGAGUGUUUGCCUAGCAUGUAUAAGGCACUGGAUUUGCUUCUCAGCACCACCU
rfam:Ictidomys tridecemlineatus contig013273, whole genome shotgun sequence.